AGGUCUAAUGGCGGCCGUGACGUUGGACGAGUCCGGAGGCGGCCUCUACGCGCCUGGAGGAGGCCUCAGCCUCGUCUGCAAGGGCUCAGGGUUCACCUUCAGUGAUUAUGGCAUGUACUGGGUGCGACAGGCACCAGGAAAGGGGCUGGAAUUCGUUGCUGGUAUUUGGAGUGAUGGUAGUGCCACAAGAUACGCGCCGGCGGUGCAGGGCCGUGCCACCAUCACGAGGGACGACGGGCAGAGCACAGUGAGGCUGCAGCUGAACAGCCUGAAGGACGAGGACUCGGCCAUGUAUUACUGCGCCAAAGAUGCUCGUAGUAGUGGUUAUUAUGGUGAUGGUGCAUCAUAG